rnacentral:rRNA from 1 species
UUCCAGCUCCAAUAGCGUAUAUUAAAGUUGUUGCGGUUAAAAAGCUCGUAGUUGAAUUUGUGUCCCGCACUGUCGGUUCACCGCCCGCGGUGCUAACUGGCAUGUUUGCGGGACGUCCUGCCGGUGGAUGUUCAAUAGUAGGUAUUGAUUCUUUCGGGGGUCUUUCCUACUAUUUCAUCCGACUUAUAAAUCCUGUCGCGGUGCUCUUAACUGAGUGUCGAGGCGGGCCGGCACGUUUACUUUGAACAAAUUAGAGUGCUCAAAGCAGGCUAAUUAAUGCCUGAAUAAUUAGUGCAUGGAAUAAUGGAACAGGACCUUGGUUCUAUUUUGUUGGUUUUCGGAACCCCAAGGUAAUGAUUAAUAGGGACAGAUGG